rnacentral:lncRNA from 1 species
GGCGGAGAUAGUUGAAAAUCGGCCGUCGCGUGCACAUUUUGCCGAGCUCUGGUUUAGACGAUUCAAAGAUAACGAUUUUGACGUGAAUGACAAAGAGCGCCCUGGUCAGCCGAAAAAGUUUGAAGAUGGAGGAUUAGAAGCAUUACUGGAAGAAGAUUCAUGUAAGACACUUAAAGAGUUGUCGGAAACAUUAAGUCGAUAAGUCAACCGUUAGCAAAUGUUUGAAAACAAUGGGAAUGAUCCAGAAGCUAGGAAAUUGAAUUGAGGAAAAGACAUCGUGAAACGUUUAACUAUAUGUGAAUUGUUGCUUCAAAGACAAAAAUGAAAGCCGUUUUUAUGUCGAAUUGUGACUAGCGAUGAAAAAUGGAUUCGUUACGACAAUCCUAAGCGCAAGAAAUCAUGGGUGCGUCCCGGUGAACCAUCAACACCACGACAGGAUAUUCAUGGAAAAAAGAUCAUGCUGUACAUUUGGUAGGAUUAAGUCGGUGUAGUGUAUUAUGAGCUGCUGCAACCGAGUCAAACCAUUAAUGCUGAACGCUACCGAUGGCAAUUACUCAAUUUGAAUCGAGCAUUCAAAGAAAAACGUCCGCAAUACGCCAAAAGACAUAACAAAAUUAUUCUUCUCCAUGACAAUGAGACCACAUGUUGCAAAACUAGUGAAGGAAAUCUUGGAAACACUUGGAUGCAUAGCCUUUCUGAACAGCACUUCAGAUCUUUCGAAGAUAUCAAAAAAUGGCUCGAUGACUGCUGGAUCGCCUCAAAAGAGCUUGAAUUUUUCUAUCGCGGAAUCCAUGUGUCACCCGAAAAGAUUGGAGCUUCCGAAGGACAAUAUUUUGAAUAGAAUAUAAUGUAACGUUCUUUUGAAAUAAACAUGAGUGUUUAUUGUAAAAAAAACAAAUUUAUUGUAAUAAAAACAGGCAGAAUUAAUUCAAGCACCUAAUAUUUGACAGAUCUAUUUGAAAUUUUGUGUGUACUCGUAUGUAUUUAUAUGUUCACAUAAAUAUCUUCACAUAUUUACGAUACGAAUAUAUCUUAUCCAAUACAGUAUGAUUUUUCAAUUUAUGAAUGUUAAGAUUUCCCAGGAAAAUUUUCUCCGUAUAAAGCGUAAAAAUAUGAUAAGUAAAAUAAGUAGGCUGAGAAGUUGCGUAAAUAAUUAAACUUCAUCCUUAUUUGCUCUAUAAUGCUAAAACGUGCGUUGGGAGAAGUCAAUCUGCUAUUAGAAAAUAAUGUGUCGCUAAAAGGACAUGCAUUUUUUUGAAAAAUCUGAAUCUCGAAAUCAGAGAAGCGGGACAAUUCUCGUCUAUAAAUUUCAUGAUGUUUUGAGAUGAUUUUACCACACCUUCUGAAUUUUAUAAUUUUGAUUUUUCAUAACACAAUGCGUGUCCACUCACAGAAUGAGCGAUAAAAAAAGAAAAAAAGAAAAAAAUAAAUAAAACAAUUUAUGGUGCGAAAAUUCAGGAGUUUCUCGUGUUUUAUCGUGUUCAACAAUUUUUGUUUUUCUCUGUGGUAUCAGUUAGAAACCGAUAACACGUAAAACGAAUGUAAGGUGAUAAUCCAAUACUAAGUCGAUAAAUUUCGAAAGAAUGCGAUAACAGCACGAUACUCGCGAGUUUGACAUUUUACUGUCAACGUACACGCUGUGUGCUGCCAGUUAAUUUUACUACUGAUAUUUGUAAAAUAAAUUAUGUACAUAGAUAUAGACAUUUUACGUAAUGAGGAGAUACCCAUUUCGACGAAUCUCGAUGUCCGAUCGACCCGUUGUGUCGAAUAGCAGAAGUUAACCAUUUUGGCCGAAUCUCCGGGAAGAAAAUAUUCCUAAUAACACAGAUACCUCAAAUAAUAUAUUUAGCGGUUUUUUAAAUCUAAGUUGACACAAUGUGGAGAUCGAGAAUCGCAUUCCGAAAUGCAUGUCGUUGUGCAGGAUAUUUACUUCAAAUCUGAAAUUAGUGUUCUUACGUGUAAGAAAGCACCAUGUCAGUGCAUGUAAGCGAUAUACAUUUCUUAGAAUGAUUUGUGCUAGUUUGUCGAUCACAAAUCACCUUUCAGCCAUUCAGAUCUAUCGUUUUUGAUCCUUCAUCCUACCCAUGACGAAUAAUUUACUAUCUUCUACAUUAUUUUGUAAUUGUAUAUUUUAAGCGUUUGAAUGUAUUUUAAUCACUUUUGAAGGCUGAUUUUUACUGAAUUUUCAAGAUAGACAUCAUCUCGCUGGUCGAUACUAAAGAAUAUAACAAGUGAAUAACACAUUGAUCCAAUUGAUAUUAGUAAUCGAUCUUUUCAUUGAACAAAAUAGAGUAAUUUUUAAAGUUACGCAUAAAGUAAUAACUUACACAUAAUGGUCCACGUUGAUCUGUGAGAUUCUUUAAUCAAUUAUUCGUGAGAGAAAGAUUAUUUAUCAUCUUCUUUCGCAUAUAUUUUCCUUGAAAUUCGUCUCGUUAACGUCGACUUCGAGUAUAAAGCUCUAAGAAAACUUGAAAAUUAUGAUAGCUUGUAGAGAUUUACUCGCGCGAUGAAACGACACGUGCGAUUGUUUCCGAUUUGGAUCGAUGAUCAUCAGGUCGACAACGGUUCACUGCAAAUCUAAGUGCGUCGGUGGUAGUUAUGUUUAUAUGCAUAAGUGUGUGAUCUGGCUGAAGCUUUUGCAUCAUUCGAUAUGUUUAAAACGGCAAGAAAUGUUCAAGAGAAAAAAAGUCAAUGAUCAGAGCUUUCAGGUCAAUUAUACAUAAAAAAUUGUAAGAUUUUAUUAGCUUUUUGAAUCCAUAAUUGAUUAAGAUAGCCAGCAAGAUUAGAGUUAAAUUAAUUCGAAGAAACUUCAGCCAAAAUAACACUUAGGUUUAGAGUGUCGCAUAUCGAGGAACAGCAAUGGUUUGCACUUGAUAUUUUUACGUUAUCCACUCGCUUGAUGAUCCGAUUUCAUUUGUAUGGAUAAGCAUUAGUGAGAAAUUGAUGAAGGACCGUUUUGCAUCUUGUAUCCCCGAGAAUCGUUCAGAGGGAGUAUUCCUGACAUUCUCUUGCGCACGCUGAUCUAGUGUGUGCGUGCGUCCAGCGGACAUUUGCGUUAGAUGUAAGAGAUUAGAGAAUAGUAAAUACGACACGUACGACAAUCGCGUAUCGUGUGACACAACCAAAGACUUCACAUUCGCGUGUGAAACAGCAGUAUUUUAAGGGUCGUUCCCUUUUUAAUCCACUGUUAGUCGCCCUGUUCGAACCAGAUGAUAGUUUUACCAUGACACGACGAAAAUGUUUUCUUCGAGACGAGACGGCGACUUUCGCGAUUCCUCACUAAGACUAGCCGAAGAAAAGACGUGUGCAAGGUGAUGCGUUGAUAGUACAGUACCUUACACAAAAAGAAAAAGAAAGGAAAGGAAGGAUAACAGGCGAUGAGACGAAUGUGUGUCAACUGGAAGUUGUAUCACUCAGCAGAUUUGAUUACAUUGUUAUAAUCGUUGCCAAUAAGAAAAAGGGGCGACAUGAAUUGUGAAUUUACGGAAUACAUACAAAUGUAUUUUUCAGAUCGAGCUAUUUUUGAAUAAAAGGAGCGAAGAACAUCUCUUA